rnacentral:misc_RNA from 1 species
CCUGCAAGAGGCGCUGGAACAGGUGCUGUAGGUUGGAAUGGCCCAUGUGCACCAAGAGGAGGAAACCCUCCAGCUUUUGGUAAGGAUCCAAGCAGUGGAUUGUUUGCAGGUGAUGGAGCCCGAGCACCAUUUGGUUGCCCACAUGAAUGGUCCACAAAGAGAGUUUUAAUGUCUGGAUUUGGCCUUGGAUUUUUACAAAGUUGAUGUUGCCAAUUCAAGCUUUGGUUAAUUAGAGUCCGUAGCCUUGAAUUCUUAAGGUUAGGAAACUGCAAUUUAUCACGAAACAGAGGAUUUGCUUCAAUAAGCUUCUUGAGCUCCACCAACAU